CGAGCGCCAGGCAGGGACCAACAAGUAACAUAUUUUAAUGUCUUUUGGUAUGAUGCAGUCCGGGAUCAAAUCUGCGACCUUUUGCUCUCCAGGAGGACGCUCUAACCACUACACCACGGAGGUGGUUGAACUGCAAUAUGCAC